rnacentral:rRNA from 1 species
CCAGACUCCUACGGGAGGCAGCAGUGGGGGAUAUUGCACAAUGGGGGGAACCCUGAUGCAGCGACGCCGCGUGGGUGAAGGAGCGUUUCGGCGCGUAAAGCCCUAUCGGCAGGGAAGAAGGAGGACGGUACCUGACUAAGAAGCCCCGGCUAACUACGUGCCAGCAGCCGCGGUAAUACGUAGGGGGCAAGCGUUAUCCGGAUUUACUGGGUGUAAAGGGAGCGUAGACGGCUGCGCAAGUCCGGAGUGAAAGCCCACGGCCCAACCGUGGGACUGCUCUGGAAACUGCCGGGCUGGAGUGUCGGAGGGGCAGGCGGAAUUCCUAGUGUAGCGGUGAAAUGCGUAGAUAUUAGGAGGAACACCGGUGGCGAAGGCGGCCUGCUGGACGACGACUGACGCUGAGGCUCGAAAGCGUGGGGAGCAAACAGGAUUAGAUACCCGCGUAC